rnacentral:rRNA from 1 species
CUACGGGGGGCUGCAGUGGGGAAUAUUGGACAAUGGGGGAAACCCUGAUCCAGCAAUGCCGCGUGUGUGAAGAAGGCCUGCGGGUUGUAAAGCACUUUCGGUUGGGAGGACUGCUUCUAGCACUAAUAUUGUUGGAAGUUGACGUUACCUUCAGAAGAAGCACCGGCUAACUCCGUGCCAGCAGCCGCGGUAAUACGGAGGGGCAAGCGUUAAUCGGAAUUACUGGGCGUAAAGCGCGCGUAGGCGGCUAGAUCAGUCGGGUGUGAAAGCCCCGGGCUUAACCUGGGAACUGCAUCCGAUACUGUCUAGCUUGAGUACAGGAGAGGGGAGUGGAAUUCCACAUGUAGCGGUGAAAUGCGUAGAUAUGUGGAGGAACACCAAUGGCGAAGGCAGCUCUCUGGCCUGAUACUGACGCUGAGGUGCGAAAGCGUGGGGAGCAAACAGGAUUAGAUACCCCUGUAGUC